AGGUGCAUCUAAUCUGCUGAUUGCAGCCAGGGAGACAGGGUAGAGCAGACGUGCCAGAAUCAUAACAUUGCCACUGGUUCCUCUUGUUUGUUAACCUGACUGCUACCCUGUUUGCUUUCUGAGUCCAUACUCCUGUCAUUUUCCUGCUUAUGCUAUUCACCUGCAGUUCCUGUACCUGGUCAAUCUGUAAGUUUGUGCUUUAUUAAAUCCUUCUCAUCCUAUCUGCUACGUUCUGCAUUUGGGUCCUACCUCAACACUCAUCAUGACAAGAACAACAUGUAAAACUCUGCUGGCCUCACUUCAGUUAAGGUCGGUCUUCAAGAUUCAACAAUAAAAAGAUGUGUGACAAGUUCCAUCUGUAGGAGAGUUACAAGGGAGAAGAGGAGUGGGUAGAGAACCCACCCUCAUGCUGGAAACACCUUCCGAAAAGGAUCCAGGUGAAAGAGAGAGAUACAGCUUUUCCCAUAGAAUCACAAUGCCUGCCCAACUCAGCCUCAGCAGAAAGACUUGCCUUCCCCGGAGCUUUGAACAUACCCAGUCCGAUUGUCCUCAGACCCCGUGAUGACCAGCCAAACCAUUUACACUGCUCUUCAAUAAAGAUUGUUA